rnacentral:rRNA from 1 species
CCUACGGGAGGCAGCAGUGGGGAAUAUUGCACAAUGGGGGAAACCCUGAUGCAGCGACGCCGCGUGAGUGAGGAAGUAUUUCGGUAUGUAAAGCUCUAUCAGCAGGGAAGAAAAUGACGGUACCUGACUAAGAAGCCCCGGCUAACUACGUGCCAGCAGCCGCGGUAAUACGUAGGGGGCAAGCGUUAUCCGGAUUUACUGGGUGUAAAGGGAGCGUAGACGGCUAAUCAAGUCAGAAGUGAAAACGCAGGGCUCAACCUUGGGACUGCUUUUGAAACUGAGUAGCUAGAGUGCAGGAGAGGUAAGCGGAAUUCCUAGUGUAGCGGUGAAAUGCGUAGAUAUUAGGAGGAACACCAGUGGCGAAGGCAGCUUACUGGACUGUAACUGACGUUGAGGCUCGAAAGCGUGGGGAGCAAACAGGAUUAGAUACCCCGGUAGUC